rnacentral:lncRNA from 1 species
AUGUAUUUGCUGUUUGACAGUAAACCCGCUCUGCCUUCUCCACGUCCAAGGCUGUGCAUUCGUCUAAUUAGUGUCGUGGGACAAGCAUGGGUGUUUGAUUUCAGAAAUCAGUCCCUGGCAAGACUUUUGUCUCAAAACAACCAUUUGAAUUUCAAGAACUCUGCUCUGAAGACACUGAGGAUAUUUCAAAAUGAGGGACAUUUCCCUUCACCCUCGACUGAAGCUUUGCCGAUACUGAAGCAUUUUCUUAAUGGACAAUGUUCAGCCAGGUACCCAUGCUUGAUCCGUCUUCACACCAGACUUCCUCGUAUUAAAAGAAAAAAAAAAAAGAAAAAAAAAAUCUUUACAGAAUCACGUGGCUAUUUAGUUUCAUGCACAGUUGCAAUAUUUUCUUCAAAAAUAAAACUCUGUACAAACUUUGGGCCCGAUUCAUAAGAAAAAGAAAUUGGCUAUUAACACGGGAUUUUUUUCAAUAUAACUUUUUUCUUUUUUGGUCUAAAUUUGAAAUGACUUGCUUCCCAAAUGAAAUCUUUUAUCUCAUUUUUUUUCCCCCUAAGCCAGCAUUGAUCUGCCUUUUUAUUUUUUAUUCCCCUUUUAUAAUCUGUUAGGGGGAUGGGGAAAUGGAGAGCAGAUUUCAGCAAUGCUCAGAAAGAUAAGAGGGGACCACCUACCCUUGAGCAUGGUAACAAGGGAGGCAGCAGCAUGUAGGGGCAGGACUUUGCCUGAGUGCCAGACAUCAUGAGUUUCCACAUGAGCGUCACAUUUCCUGAUGCUAUUCAAUUCAAAAAACACAAUUUCCAAAGUGUGUCUGGACCACAAGAGUAUAUGGUGGAAGUGCCACCGUGAAUCCAGCCCUACGCCGUCACCGUGGAGAAUACCCCCCAGGGUGCUCGAUGUGAACUUGUGUCUCUCCGAGGUGGUUUCUAGGACAAAUGGUGUCCAAUGAAUGGGGCUAUUUUUCUUGCUGUUUUUAUGCUCAGCUUCUCACAAUGACAGAAGAUUUUUUCCCUUUUUGAUUCUAUUUGUGUUAUUUUUAUUUUUCAAUUUUUUUUUAGUAAUAGUCUAUAAUUUAGCACUGUUUUUUCAAACAUCUCAGCCGAAGGUCACAAGGCCACUGGCUACGUUGGGAUGGAGGCCUAAAGAGUGCACUUUCUCCCUAGUCUCCGACUGCCUUUCUGCACUGUGAAGGCAUUUGGUAGCAUCACUGCUGAGGUACUGGCUUGACCUAGAGCUGGAGGUUUAUCAGAUUCUAGGAGGUCCUCUAGGUAGACUUUCAAAGGCAAAUACACGACCCCCCUCCUCUGCAGCCCUGACCUCUUACCAGAACAAAGUUCACUGAGGGCUUGUCCCACCACCCUUGGAAAUCUGUCUGCUCAAGAUACCUCCAUUUUUGUUUUUUGGGGUUUUUUUGUUUGUUUGUUUCAUUUCAAAUUGUGGGAGAAGGGGAUUAAACACUUCCAAUGAUAAGAGAUCUGUUGUGAAACUGAACACCCCGUGUUAAUAAGUUAGUUUGACAUUUGUUUUUUAUGAGCCGGGCCCCCUGUGCCUCUAGUAUACUUGUAUUGACUCUCAUAGUUACCCUUUUAGUUUGACUGUGUUCUGUGAAAAUUUGUAAUUGGUUGAGAAUCACUGUGGGCGUCCAUUCUUAUUCAACUAAAUCUCCACAGGUUUUUGAGCUGGUGUGGAUUAGUUUAACUCUUGUAUUCAACCAUUAGUGCUACCACCGUCUCACAUUACAAUACAAUUACUGGAAGCAAGUACUGCAUUUCCUAUGCAACAAAAAAGGAAAAUAAAAAAUUGCUAAUGCUAUGGAAGCUGUGUCA